GACCCGGAAACUCGCUCACCAUGGCUACGACAGUGUGCCUCCCUGUUGGUUAAAAUCCCCGGCCAUAUCCACAGUGCUGAAGACUGUGUGAAGUGCCAGACAUGCUAUUCUGAAUUUGCCACUUGCUAGCUGUUGACCUGAGCGGAUCCAUCACCCUCUCCGAGCUGCUGUUUCCCUCCUCUGCAGUCUGGACUGCACUGGCGAGAAGGAGGAUUAAACAAGCCUGGUGUUUCCGGUAGCGCAGUCCCUGGACCAUAACGGGCGCAUCAUUUGCAUCCUCUAUCGGCUUUGCCAUCUAAACACAGUUUUGAGUACAGUACACUUCUAUCAUCCAUUUGAAGCCCUGUUUGGGUCAACUCCCCAUCUGCCACGCGCUUCCCUGCUCUAUGAAUUAGGGCUAAGUUAGCUGCAGGAACAGAAAUGGAUUCCCAGUGGCUUCACUAGAGAGAAGAGCCUGUCUUUUGCAGCAGACACAGCUGCCCAGGAGCAACACUGAAGGUCAGCUCCUUGCGACUCCUUCCUCCACUCUCUGGUGGAGCCCUCCUCCCAGGAGUGAGGGAUGUGGAUGCUCUACGCACAGCCCCUUGAAGAUCCAUUAGCCUUUUGUGCACACUGGCUGCUGGGAUGUUUUCCCAUUGGACAAGCUGCAGUCUGUGGCUGUUUGUUAAACCCUCCCAAGGCUGCUGGAGCCUUGUGUGUCUACGAAGGGGAGAGCCAAAGUAAGAGCAUCACUUGUUUCUGCAGUUGCCCUGUGGGCUUUGCCCACUGCUACAUUCUCAUGAGCCUCUUCUCUUUCUGGCGCGCGCGCACACACACACACACACACACACACACACACACACACACACACACACGACCCCAGGAAACACUUUAAAAUCAGCACCAUCAAAUGAAUCUUUAUGACAAGAUUCUUCCUGGGGUAACCCAAGCA